GUGUGAUUUCUCAAUAAAAAGUGAAUACCGAACCCUAAUCCCUAAUCCGUUGCGGCAUCUUCUGCCACUGUCAUUCAUCUUCUCAAUCUGGCCUCAAUUUGAAGGUUUGUCGCUGCUGCUUAUUUCACUGCUAUUGUUCAUCUCCUCGUCGUCACUCAUCCCCUCACCAUAUCAAGCAACAUCGUGUCGCUACCUUCAAUGAGGUUCUGGCUUCAAUCUGAAGGUUAGUCACCGUCACUCAUUCCGUUGCCGCCUUUAUUUAUCACCUCGCCGUUGCAAGCAAUGCCACUGUUGCUGCCUUUAGCGAGCCUCUGUGAUUUUGUUCUGCCUUCAUCUUCUUUUGAUUUUUCCUUCCUCUUCAUAAUUUUAGAUCUAGUUCAUGAUCUAGUAGGAAGAAAUAGAGAAUGCUUGUUUUUUCUCCUUUAUUUUUACUUUGAUUGAUCUUCUGCGUUGUUGUUGUUGUUGACGAGGGUGCCAGAGGUGGUGGAAUUUUACUACACAUUGAUGAGGAGAGAACCAUAGCAACUAUCUCGAUGCGAAUACAGCUAAAACGGAAUCUUAAAGGCCGUGUUGGAAGGACUGCUCAUAUUUGAUAACAUAGAGAAUGGAAGCUUAAAGGAGCAUCUCAAUGAUCCCUUGAAGACUCCUUUAAAUUGGAGGACGAGGUUACAGACUGCUAAUGAAGUUGUAGCAGCACUGGAAUACUUGUUUCUUUUUAGUGAUCCACUGGCAUAUCAUGUCUCCAUCAGCUCAAGCAAUAUUAUGUUAGAUGAGAACUUUGCAGCUAAACAUCAAAUUUUGGCCUUCUUACUCCCAGUGCAAACUCUGUCAUGAUGCCGAAUUCAGGAGAUAGCAUGAAGCAGAAGAGUUGCAAGAUAAUAUUCCAACUCGGAGUGCUGAUACUGGAACUGGUCAGAAAUGGAUUGGAUUGAAAAGAUCACAGGAGUUAUUGCCUCAUUGUUGAGUUCUCAGAUUCCUGAAAGGACUAGGUAGUGUUCUGACUAAGAAGGCUGUUUAUACUGUUCAUUUUGCAGCAAAAGGGAAGUGGUAAUGUUGGCCAGCUUCUGGACCCAAAUCAUGCCUCAUUGUUGAAAGGAGUAGCAGUGGCAACUGGCGGCUAGGCUAUAGGGUCUCUACCAAUCUCAUCUUUAUGAGAAUGUUGCUAUUCAUAUCAUCUCUGUUCUGGAUGCCUAUCUCAUAUUGGAUUGAAUUUACAAGUUCUAUUUGCAGUCAAACGUCUCUCGGUGCACCUAACAUUUUACAAGGCAGUUUUCAACAAGUUCAAAAUCAGAACCAGCAUCUUCUAGGAUCUCUGAACAUGAAAAGUGAUAUGAAUCCAAUGGUUAGACCUCAAGCUGUUAUAUCAGAUGGAUCCUUUGUUGGUGGACAUGGGUGAAGAACUGAAGAAGAUGAUUGAUGCAAUCACCUAAAUACAGUGCAAUUCUAAAACACAGCAGAAUGUGAAGAUAGUUUUUGACUCUGCAAUAAAAGUUGAAUUGAGACCACAAAAACCAAAGAAAAAACCACGCAAGAGAAGGACUUAUUUUUUCUUCUAAGUAGUAUUUCUUAUUCAGUUGUUCUUAUUGUAUUUCUGAAAUCAUUAAUAUAUCAGAAUCAAAAACACUAAGCUUUAGUGUUUUUUUAUUCUUUUACAUUAUUGUUGUGAAGAACAUUAGGCUUCUUUUUACAGGUGUUAUGUUUAGAAUUAAAAAAUUAUAUUAUGUUUGAUAGUUUAUUUG